rnacentral:tRNA from 1 species
UCCCUGGUGAUCUGGUGGUUAAGACUCUGAGCUCUCAAUGCAGGGGGCUCAGGUUCAAUUCCUGGUCAGGGAA